rnacentral:rRNA from 1 species
CUUCGAGGGCGGCGUGCUAUACAUGCAAGUCGAGCGGACUGAUGGGAGCUUGCUCCCUGAAGUCAGCGGCGGACGGGUGAGUAACACGUGGGUAACCUGCCUGUAAGACUGGGAUAACUCCGGGAAACCGGGGCUAAUACCGGAUAGUUCUUUUCCUCGCAUGAGGAAAAGUGGAAAGGCGGCUUCGGCUGCCACUUACAGAUGGACCCGCGGCGCAUUAGCUAGUUGGUGAGGUAACGGCUCACCAAGGCAACGAUGCGUAGCCGACCUGAGAGGGUGAUCGGCCACACUGGGACUGAGACACGGCCCAGACUCCUACGGGAGGCAGCAGUAGGGAAUCUUCCGCAAUGGACGAAAGUCUGACGGAGCAACGCCGCGUGAGUGAUGAAGGUUUUCGGAUCGUAAAGCUCUGUUGUUAGGGAAGAACAAGUGCCGUUCGAAUAGGGCGGCACCUUGACGGUACCUAACCAGAAAGCCACGGCUAACUACGUGCCAGCAGCCGCGGUAAUACGUAGGUGGCAAGCGUUGUCCGGAAUUAUUGGGCGUAAAGCGCGCGCAGGCGGUCUCUUAAGUCUGAUGUGAAAGCCCACGGCUCAACCGUGGAGGGUCAUUGGAAACUGGGGGACUUGAGUACAGAAGAGGAAAGUGGAAUUCCACGUGUAGCGGUGAAAUGCGUAGAUAUGUGGAGGAACACCAGUGGCGAAGGCGACUUUCUGG